GAGUUUGAUUAUGGCUCAGGAUGAACGCUGGCGGCGUGCGUAACACAUGCAAGUUGGACGACGGUGCUAUGAAGUGGUAACACGGAAUGGUAUACGGAGUAGCGGACGGGUGAGUAAAGCAUGAGGAGCUGUCCUGUUGAGGGGGAUAACGUUCGGAAACGGACCCUAAUACCCCAUAGGCCGAGAGGUUAAAGGCAGAGAUGCGCGACAGGAGGUACUCGUGUCCUAUCAGCUAGUUGGUGAGGUAACGGCUCACCAAGGCGACGACGGGUAGCCGGCCUGAGAGGGUGACCGGCCACACUGAAACUGAGACACGGUCCAGACUCCUACGGGAGGCAGCAGUGGGGAAUAUUGGGCAAUGGGAGGAAUCCUGACCCAGCGACGCCGCGUGAACGAAGACGGCCUUCGGGUUGUAAAGUUCUUUUAUGUGGGAAGAAGGAAGUGA
rnacentral:rRNA from 1 species